rnacentral:rRNA from 1 species
AACGAACGCUGGCGGCAUGCCUAACACAUGCAAGUCGAACGAGACCUUCGGGUCUAGUGGCGCACGGGUGCGUAACGCGUGGGAACCUGCCCUUAGGUUCGGAAUAACUCCCCGAAAGGGGUGCUAAUACCGGAUAAUGUCUUCGGACCAAAGAUUUAUCGCCUUUGGAUGGGCCCGCGUUGGAUUAGCUAGUUGGUAGGGUAAAAGCCUACCAAGGCGACGAUCCAUAGCUGGUCUGAGAGGAUGAUCAGCCACACUGGGACUGAGACACGGCCCAGACUCCUAAGGGAGGCAGCAGUGGGGAAUAUUGGACAAUGGGCGAAAGCCUGAUCCAGCAAUGCCGCGUGAGUGAUGAAGGCCUUAGGGUUGUAAAGCUCUUUUACCCGGGAUGAUAAUGACAGUACCGGGAGAAUAAGCUCCGGCUAACUCCGUG